CAUGAUUUGACUCAGUGGAAGUGUGAUGUUUACAUGUACAGAUCUUUGCGGUUCUUUCUGGGUUUUUUUCUGUUUCCUCAUCUUAUUUCUCCCUUCCAUCCCUCUUUCUUUUAUUUUUUUUUGUUUUUCAGUUCACCCGACUCCUUCCUUUUACACUCUGAAGGGAAAUGGGAUUAAAUAAAUACGAUUUUUACACACUUAUGGCAGGACGGGGACGCGCUAAAGUUUCUGUUCGUCUUCGAAACGUGCGUUGACGUUUGGUCAACGAAUGCUAACAACGCUAGCAGAUGUUAGCGACUCAGUUUUGUGCAGAACUCGAGGCCGAACCGUCCCCGUCUGAACAGCGACCGUCCGGGAGGGUUGGGAGUCGAGUUGUGUGUUCGUUUGGCCUCCAGAGGGCGCCACCGCCGUCCUCCUCGGCCGACCACAACCUGGUGGAGAUGAUUCCUCAGCGAAUGAUAAGCCAUGACGGACCCGCGGGUCUCUAUUAAUAUAUUUAGCAAAAGUUAAAACUGCAGAAGACAAAACUCAACCUCAGGAAACAAAUUAAAAAAAACAAGAAGGACAUCACUUUUGUAAAAACACUGAAGGCCCAUUUCCCUCUUUCUCUUUGAUACCAUAUAAAUUAUAUCAGAAAUUCUUUUUUAUAUUUAUUGUGUUUAUUAUUAUUAUUCUAUAUACGAGUGGAUCCUUUUUUUCCAGUAACCUGUGGCUGAAUAUUUUGAUUCUUUAGAAAAAUGUUGAUAAUAUAUGUGAAGCAAUGAUUGAGGAUUUUAAAAGAAAGAAGAAGUAUCUAGGGUUAUUUUUUUCCGUUUGUUGGCAUUUGUUUGGCCCAACAAUGAGAACAUAUCACUCUGGUCCAUGACAAAGAAACCAAUGAUUGAAAAACUGAGCUUUCUUUUGUGUGAUGUCACUGCUAAAGGCUGAAAUGUUUCUGGACUGAAAAAAAAUAUUGUGACUAUUUAGUUUUUUUUUGUUUUUAUUUUGUUUGUUUUCAUUUGUUCGUUUGUUUCCUCCCGAGCUGUACGUCACAAAGCUAAAUAUACUAAUAAAACGGUGUGCUAUCUAUCAAA
ensembl:lncRNA